UACGAAGGGUGCAAACGUUGCUCGGAAUUAUUGGGCGUAAAGCGCACGUAGGCGGCAUUGCAAGUCGAAUGUGAAAUCCCUCGGCUUAACCAAGGAAGUGCAUCCGAAACUGCAGUGCUUGAGUACUUAAGAGGAUCGCGGAAUUCUCGGUGUAGAGGUGAAAUUCGUAGAUAUCGGGAGGAACACCAGUGGCGAAGGCGGCGAUCUGGGAAGAUACUGACGCUGAAGCACGAAAGCGUGGGGAGCAAACAGG
rnacentral:rRNA from 1 species